rnacentral:rRNA from 1 species
UACAGGGGGGGCAAGCGUUGUUCGGAAUUACUGGGCGUAAAGGGCUCGUAGGCGGCCAACUAAGUCACAGGUGAAAUCCCCAGGCUUAACCUGGGAACUGCGUGUGAUACUGGAUGGCUUGAAUUCGGGAGAGGGAUGCAGAAUUCCAGGUGUAGCGGUGAAAUGCGUAGAUAUCUGGAGGAAUACCGGUGGCGAAGGCGGCAUCCUGGACCGACAUUGACGCUGAGGAGCGAAAGCUAGGGGAGCAAACGGG